rnacentral:rRNA from 1 species
UAGGGAAUAUUGCACAAUGGACGAAAGUCUGAUGCAGCGACGCCGCGUGAGUGAUGAAGGCCUUCGGGUUGUAAAGCUCUGUUCUUAGGGAAUAAAAAAAUGAAGGUACCUAAGGAGAAAGGACCGGCUAACUUCGUGCCAGCAGCCGCGGUAAUACGAGGGGUCCAAGCGUUGCUCGGAAUCAUUGGGCGUAAAGCGGGUGUAGGUGGCUUUGUAAGUCAGGAGUGAAAGCCCUAGGCUCAACCUAGGAAGUGCUUUUGAUACUGCGAAGCUUGAAUGUGGGAGAGGAUCGUGGAAUUCCAGGUGUAGUGGUGAAAUACGUAGAUAUCUGGAGGAACACCGGUGGCGAAGGCGGCGAUCUGGCCCAACAUUGACACUCAGACCCGAAAGUGCGGGGAUCAAACAG